rnacentral:rRNA from 1 species
CUACUGGACGCAGCAGUGGGGAAUAUUGGACAAUGGGCGCAAGCCUGAUCCAGCAAUGCCGCGUGAGUGAAGACGGCCUUAGGGUUGUAAAACUCUUUCGCUAGGGAAGAUAAUGACUGUACCUAGUAAAGAAGUCCCGGCUAACUCCGUGCCAGCAGCCGCGGUAAUACGGAGGGGACUAGCGUUGUUCGGAAUUACUGGGCGUAAAGAGUUCGUAGGCGGACUGACAAGUUAGAGGUGAAAUCCCAGGGCUCAACCCUGGAAUUGCCUUUAAAACUGUCAGUCUAGAGACCGGAAGAGGUUAGGGGAAUACCUAGUGUAGAGGUGAAAUUCGUAGAUAUUAGGUGGAACACCAGUGGCGAAGGCGCCUAACUGGUCCGGUACUGACGCUGAGGAACGAAAGCGUGGGGAGCAAACAGGAUUAGAUACCCGCGUAGUC